AGUGAACGCUGGCGGUAGGCCUAACACAUGCAAGUCGAACAGAAGCACAGUAAGAGCUCGCCCUUACGGGUGGCGAGGGGCGGACGGGUGAGGCAUACAUAGGAAACUAAUUAUUCGGGGGGGAUAACGUAGGGAAAGUGACGCUAACACCGCAUACGAUCUACGGGAGAAAGCAGGAGAGCUUAGGACACUGCGUGACUGAAUGAGCCGACGCCGCAUUAGCUAGUUGGCGGGGUAAAGGCCCACCAAGGCAACGAUCCGUAGCAGCUCUGAGAGGAUGAUCCGCCACACUGGAACUGAGACACGGUCCAGACUCCUACGGGAGGCAGCAGUAGGGAAUAUUGGGCAAUGGGCGCAAGCCUGAUCCAGCCACACCGCGUGUGUGAAGAAGGCCUUCGGGUUGUAAAACUCUUUUAUUGGGAAAGAACAGCUGCGUGUUUAUCCCCCGCUGUUCUGACGGUACCCAAAGAGUAAGCACCGGCUAACUUCGUG
rnacentral:rRNA from 1 species